GCCCUCGCGGUACUUUGACGUCAUCCGCCUGUCAUCGCUUGCGUUGCCACAAGUAGUUUGCCGAAUACGGUACGCCGGUAGGGCAAGAUAGCGCCGUUGUCAGUCAGAAGUGUACGAUUUCUUUUGUUUAGCCUUAAUACGGAAUAUUUGUUGAACCAACCGACGAAGAGUCAAGCCUGGCCUUUGAAUGCCGUCAGAGACGAAAACCCAUAAAAGAGGAAUUUGUUAAUUGUGUGACAUAAACGCAUGUGCAUCUUUCCGACAAUGGCAGCCACUCGUAUUUACAGUGACCACUCCAUCAAAGAGUUCAUUUAAAUAAUCGUGGAUUGAAACAGAUGGAAAAUUGACCGGCUUGUGCUCCCUCUCUAUAGAGAGCUCAAUGCAAACUGCCGCUUUCUUGGCCUCCGAUGCGGGUCCGCGUGGGUCACGUGACUGAGUAAUGCUAAGAUCACAGAUGAAAGACAAAAUGCUGACGAUUACAGGAAAUAGGCCUUUUUUAUCUAAGGGCUGACCUAUGACUCACCAUGGGAAUGCACAGUCCUGAACUCCCUCACAAGCACACAAUAUCGGUGAGAGUUUCAAACC